AGGCCGCUUACAUUUCUGACUACU
rnacentral:siRNA from 1 species